GACGAACGCUGGCGGCGUGCUUAACACAUGCAAGUCGAACGGAAAGUCCCUGCUUUUGUGGGGUGCUCGAGUGGCGAACGGGUGAGUAACACGUGAGUAACCUGCCCUUGACUUUGGGAUAACUUCAGGAAACUGAGGCUAAUACCGGAUAGGAGCUCCUGCUGCAUGGUGGGGGUUGGAAAGUUUCGGCGGUUGGGGAUGGACUCGCGGCUUAUCAGCUUGUUGGUGGGGUAGUGGCUUACCAAGGCUUUGACGGGUAGCCGGGCUGAGAGGGUGACCGGCCACAUCAGAACGGGAAUACGGCCCAGCCCCGAACGGGAGGCAACGGAGGGGAAUGGUGCAUAGUGGGCGGAGGCAUAAUCCGACCACGCCACGUCGGGGAUGAGGGCCUUGGGGUAGGAAUCCAAUUCCCUUUGAGCCGAGACGUGAGUGACGGUAAUGGGUAAAGAAGCACCGGCUAACUCCGUG
rnacentral:rRNA from 1 species